CGGACGGGUGAGUAAUGUCUGGGAAACUGCCUGAUGGAGGGGGGUAACUACUGGAAACGGUAGCUAAUACCGCAUAACGUCGCAAGACCAAAGAGGGGGACCUUAGGGCCUCUUGCCAUCGGAUGUGCCCAGAUGGGAUUAGCUAGUAGGUAAGGUAACGGCUUACCUAGGCGACGAUCCCUAGCUGGUCUGAGAGGAUGAUCAGCCACACUGGGACUGAGACACGGCCCAG
rnacentral:rRNA from 1 species